rnacentral:rRNA from 1 species
GACGAAGGGGGCUAGCGUUGUCCGGAAUCACUGGGCGUAAAGCGCACGUAGGCGGCUUUUUAAGUCAGGGGUGAAAUCCUGGAGCUCAACUCCAGAACUGCCUUUGAUACUGGGAAGCUCGAGUCCGGGAGAGGUGAGUGGAACUCCGAGUGUAGAGGUGAAAUUCGUAGAUAUUCGGAAGAACACCAGUGGCGAAGGCGGCUCACUGGCCCGGUACUGACGCUGAGGUGCGAAAGCGUGGGGAGCAAACAGG